ACUUGUGCUCUUCCCAUGGGGAAGAACAGGCUUUAUUAAUCAGAUGAUGUCUUGAUUUUUCUAAAUGAGAAGAUUGUUUUAUUUGUAACACUAAACAUGGGAGCUGUAUUUUUAGCAAACUUGUUUGGAAAGAUUCACAUUGUGUUGUGUAUUAGAUUGCACCAUCCUGUUUGUGUAUGGUUCAAAUUAGGUCUUUGUCUUAAGUUCCUCUACUUUAUA